rnacentral:rRNA from 1 species
GAUGAACGCUGGCGGCGUGCCUAAUACAUGCAAGUCGAGCGAACAGACGAGGAGCUUGCUCCUUUGACGUUAGCGGCGGACGGGUGAGUAACACGUAGGUAACCUACCUAUAAGACUGGGAUAACUUCGGGAAACCGGAGCUAAUACCGGAUAAUAUUUCGAACCGCAUGGUUCGAUAGUGAAAGAUGGCUUUGCUAUCACUUAUAGAUGGACCUGCGCCGUAUUAGCUAGUUGGUAAGGUAACGGCUUACCAAGGCAACGAUACGUAGCCGACCUGAGAGGGUGAUCGGCCACACUGGAACUGAGACACGGUCCAGACUCCUACGGGAGGCAGCAGUAGGGAAUCUUCCGCAAAGGGCGAAAGCCUGACGGAGCAACGCCGCGUGAGUGAUGAAGGUCUUCGGAUCGUAAAACUCUGUUAUUAGGGAAGAACAAACGUGUAAGUAACUGUGCACGUCUUGACGGUACCUAAUCAGAAAGCCACGGCUAACUACGUG